rnacentral:snRNA from 1 species
GGAUGUGAGGGUGUUCUGGCUGCGACAUCGGUCACCCCACUGAUCGCCAGGGUUGAUUCUGCUGAUCUGCCUGGCUAGUCUUGUGCCCCUUCCCUCCUCACCUCUCCAUGUGCGUCCCUCCCCAAGCUGCAGGCCUUCCCAGAAUACAGACACACCGGUCUUCAGUCGAGGGUCUAGGAGUGGCUGUGUUCCCCUGCUAGAGCCUCCAAACCAGCUCUCAAAAAUCUAUCUCCACUUCAUAGUAUGUUCUAUUUUGCCACUUUAAAGUGUGACUGUAAUG